UACGAACUGUGCGAACGUUAUUCGGAAUCACUGGGCUUAAAGGGUGCGUAGGCGGUUUGUUAAGUCAGGUGUGAAAUCCCCCGGCUCAACCGGGGAACAGCGCUUGAAACUGGCAGACUGGAGUGAGGCAGGGGUGUGCGGAACUUCCAGUGGAGCGGUGAAAUGUGUAGAUAUUGGAAGGAACGCCGGCGGCGAAAGCGGCACACUGGGCCUUGUCUGACGCUGAGGCACGAAAGCUAGGGGAGUGAACGGG
rnacentral:rRNA from 1 species